rnacentral:lncRNA from 1 species
UUCACAAGUAACCGGAACAGGCAGGGUGGUCUGUUUGAGUUCCCACUAGCGGUCUGCUUCUCCCACUAACAUGUAGGUAGCAAGGGUAACCUUCUGCUCAGAAGUCACCCAUAGGGUCUUGAAGGCCUUCUCUGUCUCUACCAACCAGUAUUCGACAUCUUCAAAAGAGGAUCCCCCUGCAAAAGUGGAUGGGUUUAGUCUCUUAUACCUCUCUAUG